rnacentral:rRNA from 1 species
UGGGGAAUUUUGGACAAUGGGCGAAAGCCUGAUCCAGCAAUGCCGCGUGUGAAGAAGGCCUUCGGGUUGUAAAGCACUUUUGUCCGGAAAGAAAUCCUUGGCUCUAAUACAGUCGGGGGAUGACGGUACCGGAAGAAUAAGCACCGGCUAACUACGUGCCAGCAGCCGCGGUAAUACGUAGGGUGCAAGCGUUAAUCGGAAUUACUGGGCGUAAAGCGUGCGCAGGCGGUUUGCUAAGACCGAUGUGAAAUCCCCGGGCUCAACCUGGGAACUGCAUUGGUGACUGGCAGGCUAGAGUAUGGCAGAGGGGGGUAGAAUUCCACGUGUAGCAGUGAAAUGCGUAGAGAUGUGGAGGAAUACCGAUGGCGAAGGCAGCCCCCUGGGCCAAUACUGACGCUCAUGCACGAAAGCGUGGGGAGCAAAACAGGAUUAGAUACCCUGGUAGUCCACGCCCUAAACGAUGUCAACUAGUUGUUGGGGACUUCAUUUCCUUAGUAACGUAGCUAACGCGUGAAGUUGACCGCCUGGGGAGUACGGUCGCAAGAUUAAAACUUAAAUGAAUUGACGGGGUCAUAGCUGUUUCCU